rnacentral:rRNA from 1 species
GGACCCGCACAAGUAGUGGAGCAUGUGGUUUAAUUCGAAGAUACGCGCAGAACCUUACCAACACUUGACAUGUUUGUCGCGACUUUAAGAGAUUAAAGUCUUCGGUUCGGCCGGACAAAACACAGGUGCUGCAUGGCUGUCGUCAGCUCGUGUCGUGAGAUGUUGGGUUAAGUCCCGCAACGAGCGCAACCCUCACUUUUAGUUGCCAUCAUUUAGUUGGGCACUCUGAAAGAACUGCCAGUGAUAAGCUGGAGGAAGGUGGGGAUGACGUCAAGUCCUCAUGGCCCUUACGUGUUGGGCUACACACGUGCUACAAUGGCAUUUACAAUAGGAAGCAAGAUGGCGACGUCAAGCAAAUCCUAAAAAAAUGACCUCAGUUCGGAUUGUACUCUGCAACUCGAGUACAUGAAGCUGGAAUUACUAGUAAUCGCGGAU